UACAGAGGGGGCGAGCGUUGUUCGGAAUUACUGGGCGUAAAGGGCGCGUAGGCGGCCAACUAAGUCAGACGUGAAAUCCCUCGGCUCAACCGGGGAACUGCGUCUGAUACUGGAUGGCUUGAAUUCGGGAGAGGGAUGCGGAAUUCCAGGUGUAGCGGUGAAAUGCGUAGAUAUCUGGAGGAACACCGGUGGCGAAGGCGGCAUCCUGGACCGAGAUUGACGCUGAUGCGCGAAAGCCAGGGGAGCAA
rnacentral:rRNA from 1 species